GGACUGGCCCAUGGAGGUUGGCAACGACCGCCAAGGGCCGGGAAAGUUGGUCAAACUUGGUCAUUUAGAGGAAGUAAAAGUCGUAACAAGGUUUCCGUAGGUGAACCUGCGGAAGGAUCAUUACCGUGCCUGCAGCUGUUGGCGGGCUCCUUCGGGGGUCCGUUCAGCGCUGCAUCCGGCCCAACCGUGUCUAUCUAUACCUGUUGCUUCGGCGGGCCUGCGGGCUUGUUCGCUGCCCGGAGCCUCCAAAGCUCCGGGCUCGUGCCCGCCGAAGACACCUGGAACUUCUGUUGAAUCUAGCGGUCUGAGUGGACUUGUAAUCAUUAAAACUUUCAACAACGGAUCUCUUGGUUCCGGCAUCGAUGAAGAACGCAGCGAAAUGCGAUAAGUAAUGUGAAUUGCAGAAUUCCGUGAAUCAUCGAAUCUUUGAACGCACAUUGCGCCCCCUGGUAUUCCGGGGGGCAUGCCUGUCCGAGCGUCAUUGCAACCCUCAAGCGCGGCUUGUGUGUUGGGCCUCGUCCCCCGUGGACGUGCCCGAAAUGCAGUGGCGGUACCGUGCUCCGGUGCCUGAGCGUAUGGGCUUUAUCACCCGCUUCAAGGCCCGGCCGGUGCUUGCCGACUCUAAAACUUUUUUAGGUUGACCUCGGAUCAGGUAGGGAUACCCGCUGAACUUAAGCAUAUCAAUAAGCGGAGGAAAAGAAACCAACAGGGAUUGCCCCAGUAACGGCGAGUGAAGCGGCAAAAGCUCAAAUUUGAAAUCUGGUUCCUUCGGGGCCCGAGUUGUAAUUUGCAGAGGAUGCUUCGGGUACGGCCGCGGCGUAAGUCCCCUGGAACGGGG
rnacentral:rRNA from 1 species